UACGUAGGGGGCGAGCGUUGUCCGAAGUUACUGGGCGUAAAGCGCGCGUAGGCGGCUUAUUAAGUGGCCGGUGAAAUCCCCGGGCUCAACCUGGGGCGGUCUGGUCAUACUGGUAAGCUGGAGUGUGGGAGAGGAGAGUGGAACUCCAGGUGUAGCGGUGAUAUGCGUAGAUAUCUGGAAGAACACCCGUGGCGAAGGCGGCUCUCUGGACCACAACUGACGCUGAGGCGCGAAAGCCAGGGGAGCGAACGGG
rnacentral:rRNA from 1 species